rnacentral:rRNA from 1 species
AAAGGAAUAGACGGGGACCCGCACAAGCAGCGGAGCAUGUGGUUUAAUUCGAAGCAACGCGAAGAACCUUACCAGGGCUUGACAUCCCUCUGAAAGAUCGGGUAAUGCCGAUCCCCUCUUCGGAGCAGAGGAGACAGGUGGUGCAUGGUUGUCGUCAGCUCGUGUCGUGAGAUGUUGGGUUAAGUCCCGCAACGAGCGCAACCCUUGCCGUUAGUUGCCAUCAUUAAGUUGGGCACUCUAAUGGGACUGCCGGAGACAAUCCGGAGGAAGGCGGGGAUGACGUCAAAUCAUCAUGCCCCUUAUGUCCUGGGCGACACACGUGCUACAAUGGCCGUCACAGAGGGAAGCGAAGGAGCGAUCCGGAGCAAAACCCCAAAGGCGGUCCCAGUUCGGACUGCAGGCUGAAACCCGCCUGCACGAAGCCGGAGUUGCUAGUAAUCGCGGAUCAGCAUGCCGCGGUGAAUGCGUUCCCGGGUCUUGUACACACCGCCCGU